rnacentral:sRNA from 1 species
UAGAAUUAUAUACUCUGCGGCCGCCUGC